GGCGAACGCUGGCGGCGUGCUUAACACAUGCAAGUCGAACGGAAAGGCCCUGCUUUUGUGGGGUGCUCGAGUGGCGAACGGGUGAGUAACACGUGAGUAACCUGCCCUUGACUUUGGGAUAACUUCAGGAAACUGGGGCUAAUACCGGAUAGGAGCUCCUGCUGCAUGGUGGGGGUUGGAAAGUUUCGGCGGUUGGGGAUGGACUCGCGGCUUAUCAGCUUGUUGGUGGGGUAGUGGCUUACCAAGGCUUUGACGGGUAGCCGGCCUGAGAGGGUGACCGGCCACAUUGGGACUGCGAUACGGCCCAGACUCCUACGGGAGGCAGCAGUGGGGAAUAUUGCACAAUGGGCGGAAGCCUGAUGCAGCACCGCCGCGUGCGGGAUGACGGCCUUCGGGUUGUAAACCGCUUUCGCCUGUGACGAAGCGUGAGUGACGGUAAUGGGUAAAGAAGCACCGGCUAACUACGUG
rnacentral:rRNA from 1 species